rnacentral:misc_RNA from 1 species
AAGUCGUAACAAGGUUUCCGUAGGUGAACCUGCGGAAGGAUCAUUAUCACAUGAUUCCAUGUAUAAACCAUUGUGCAUUGUCACCCCCCUUUGGAUUUGAAAUCGGAAAUGAAAGAAGCGUUUUAAUGGUCACUAUUGUAAUUUGAAGACCAAGUUUCUUUCUACUGUCUUGAGCUUUCGGGCGAGAGAUGGAGCUGAUCUCAACUUAUGAUCCAAAGUGUAAUUCAAAUUUACAUACUUAUUGAUUAACAAUUGAAACCCCUUUUAAACUUUUGAACUAAUGUUUUCAUACUCCAAUAA